rnacentral:rRNA from 1 species
GACGAACGCUGGCGGCGUGCUUAACACAUGCAAGUCGAACGAAGUGGCGAACGGGUGAGUAACGCGUAAUCAACCUGCCCUUCAGGGGGGGACAACAGUUGGAAACGACUGCUAAUACCGCAUACUGAAGGAGGGGAUUGCGUCUGAUUGGCUCGUUGGAGGGGUAACGGCCCACCAAGGCGAUGGUAAGUAGCCGGUCUGAGAGGAUGAACGGCCACAGUGGGACGUGGAAAACGCCCAGACCCCUACGGGAGGGAGCAGUGGGGAAUCUUCCGCAAUGGACGAAAGUCUGCAGGAGCAACGCCGCGUGAGUGAUGACGGCCUUCGGGUUGUAAAGCUAUGUUAAUCGGGACGCGGUACCGGAAUAGAAAGCCACGGCUAACUACGUGCCAGCCGCCGCGGUAAUAC